CCCACCUGACCCCAUGCCGAACUCAGGAGUGAA
rnacentral:rRNA from 1 species